GACGAACGCUGGCGGCGUGCUUAACACAUGCAAGUCGAACGGAAAGGCCCUGCUUGCAGGGUGCUCGAGUGGCGAACGGGUGAGUAACACGUGGGUGAUCUGCCCCUUACUUUGGGAUAAGCCUGGGAAACUGGGUCUAAUACUGGAUAGGACCAUGCUGUAGGUGGUGUGGUGGAAAGAUUAGUUUCGGUAAGGGAUGAGCUCGCGGCCUAUCAGCUUGUUGGUGGGGUAAUGGCCUACCAAGGCGUCGACGGGUAGCCGGCCUGAGAGGGUGGACGGCCACAUUGGGACUGGGAUACGGCCCAGACUCCUACGGGAGGCAGCAGUGGGGAAGAUUGCACAAUGGGCGCAAGCCUGAUGCAGCGACGCCGCGGGGGGGAUGACGGCCUUCGGGUUGUAAACUCCUUUCAGCCAUGACGAAGCCCUUGUGGUGACGGUAGUGGUAGAAGAAGCACCGGCUAACUACGUG
rnacentral:rRNA from 1 species